rnacentral:rRNA from 1 species
UAACGGCUCACCAAGGCGACGAUCAGUAGCUGGUCUGAGAGGAUGAUCAGCCACAUUGGGACUGAGACACGGCCCAAACUCCUACAGGAGACAUUUGUGGGGAAUAUUGGACAAUGGGCGCAAGCCUGAUCCUUUCUUGCCGCGUGAGUGAUGAAGGCCCUAGGGUUGUAAAGCUCUUUUGUGCGGGAAGAUAAUGACGGUACCGCAAGAAGAACCGCCGGCUAACUACCUGCCAGCAGCCGUGGUAACACGUAGGGCGCAAGCGUUGUCCGGAAUUAUUGGGCGUAAAGAGCUCGUAGGCGGUCUGUUGCGUCCGCUGUGAAAACUCGCGGCUUAACCCCGAGCCUGCGGUGGAUACCGGCAGACUAGUGGUAGGUAGGGGAGAAUGGAAUUCCCGGUGUAGCGGUGAAAUG